AAAUUGAACUCGCUGUGAAGAUGCAGUGUACCCGCGGCAAGACGGAAAGACCCCGUGAACCUUUACUAUAGCUUGACACUGAACAUUGAGCCUUGAUGUGUAGGAUAGGUGGGAGGCUUUGAAGUGUGGACGCCAGUCUGCAUGGAGCCGACCUUGAAAUACCACCCUUUAAUGUUUGAUGUUCUAACGUGGACCCGUUACCCGGGUUGCGGACAGUGUCUGGUGGGUAGUUUGACUGGGGCGGUCUCCUCCUAAAGAGUAACGGAGGAGCACGAAGGUUGGCUAAUCCUGGUCGGACAUCAGGAGGUUAGUGCAAUGGCAUAAGCCAGCUUGACUGCGAGCGUGACGGCGCGAGCAGGUGCGAAAGCAGGUCAUAGUGAUCCGGUGGUUCUGAAUGGAAGGGCCAUCGCUCAACGGAUAAAAGGUACUCCGGGGAUAACAGGCUGAUACCGCCCAAGAGUUCAUAUCGACGGCGGUGUUUGGCACCUCGAUGUCGGCUCAUCACAUCCUGGGGCUGAAGUAGGUCCCAAGGGUAUGGCUGUUCGCCAUUUAAAGUGGUACGCGAGCUGGGUUUAGAACGUCGUGAGACAGUUCGGUCCCUAUCUGCCGUGGGCGCUGGAGAACUGAGGGGGGCUGCUCCUAGUACGAGAGGACCGGAGUGGACGCAUCACUGGUGUUCGGGUUGUCAUGCCAAUGGCACUGCCCGGUAGCUAAAUGCGGAAGAGAUAAGUGCUGAAAGCAUCUAAGCACGAAACUUGCCCCGA
rnacentral:rRNA from 1 species